UACGGAGGAGGCAAGCGUUAUCCGGAAUUAUUGGGCGUAAAGCGUCCGCAGGUGGCAAUUCAAGUCUGUGGUUAAAGACUGGGGCUUAACCCUGGAAAGGCCAUGGAAACUGAAUAGCUAGAGUGCAGUAGGGGUAGAGGGAAUUCCCGGUGUAGCGGUGAAAUGCGUAGAGCUCGGGAAGAACAUCGGUGGCGAAAGCGCUCUGCUGGACUGCAACUGACACUCAGGGACGAAAGCUAGGGGAGCGAAUGGG
rnacentral:rRNA from 1 species